rnacentral:rRNA from 1 species
GACGAACCGUGCGAACGUUGUUCGGAAUUCACUGGGCUUAAAGGGUGUGUAGGCGGUCUGUCAAGUCAGGGGUGAAAUCUUUCGGCUCAACCGGAAAACUGCCUUUGAUACUUGGCAGGCUCGAGGGAGAUAGGGGUUGCGGGAACUACCAGUGGAGCGGUGAAAUGACGUUGAUAUUGGUAGGAAACGCCGGUGGCGAAAGCGCGCAACUGGACCUCUUCUGACGCUGAAACACGAAAGCUAGGGGAGCAAACCGGGAGUUAGAAA